rnacentral:lncRNA from 1 species
UAGACAUAAUUAGCUUAUUCUCUAUGUCCUUCUAAAGCAAUAUUUCUUUUGGUUAGAAAAUGUCAUCAAUAAAACUUUGCUCUCUAACCUAGUAUCCAAUAAGUUAUAUCUUUUAAAAUAAUUUCCAAAAUUUCCUGAAGAACUCUUUUCAGUGUUAGUUGUGGAAAACUUAUGGAGAUAACAAAUCUGUCUUAAAGCCUUUGGCCUUUCAGAACUGGAAAGUUUGCUAUACUGGAUUUUUACAUAGCUCCAUGCUGAGUCUCUGUCAGUGAUACCAGCCAAGAUUUUAAAAGAGAAUAAGGUGGUGCUACAUGACAUCAAAGCCAAGGCCAGCUCCAGACAGCUUCUUUUCCUACCCAUUUUGCCAGUGUUCAUCAUUACAGCCUUUCUAGGUUUAGCCUGUAGUGCCUCCUGGGAAUAAAGAGCUUCAUAAUAUAUUACAGUUGCAGCACCCUAACUUAUUUAACCUAAAUACCCACAACUUCUAGGCAAUACCAACUAGCUCUGAUAUUCUAGCUUAGGUGAGUAAGAUCAUGUUUACUUUUAUAGACAGCAAUCUUCUUUAUACUUUUAUAGAUACCAGUCUUCAUCCGUAUCAUUUUACUAAUCACUCUUGUACAGUUGCUCUCAGAUCCACUGAACAUAAUUCCAAAAUAUCAAAACUUUCUGACCUAGGUUACAUCCCCCUGGUACCAUGGCCUGUGUGAUUCCCAAAGUAAACAUUAAUUUAUCUGCCUAGUCAACUUGCUUUUAUUGGGAAAAUUAAAGAGCCUAAGAAUCUACAAUUCUUUUUUAGGAUUAUACCUCAGCCUUCUAACAUAAAGAACUAGUUGUAUUAUUUUCAGAAAAGAAAUAAGGGACUAGCCCUGGCACAUUUAUGUAAUCAAUAUUUUAUGACUCUUAUUUCAUAUAGUUAUCUUAAAGUCAUGGUGCUUAAAUAGUCACUUUUUCAGGUCCGUCUUAACUCCUAGAUAAAACUAUUAAAUAUAUUUUUGUUCACAAGUGUCAGCCCUAAGUAUGACCCUCCUAAGGUCUGCAAAGAAAGUAGUUUUCUGUAUCAAUGAAAAACAGUAAACACUAAGGACUCUGCCCAUAGUGUUCAGACCUAUCAUUACCUAUGUGCAUUUUAUUUUAUGGUUGGAAUCCUGUUUUGAGUAUCUCUUUUCUUGCCUUUUCAUUCACUGCCUGUAACUUUUGUGUAAUAAAGAACUGUGGUGUAAUAAAUCAACAGUCUGAAGAAAUAUCUCAUUAAAAAGGGCAAGCCAGAUAGAAAAAAACCUACUCAGUGACAGCAUUAUUUCUAUAAUGUGAGGAUGUCAAGAUUGUGUGGGCCUUUCCAAGGUAUAUUAGAAGUUGAGGUUCUUACUGUAAAGCAGAUACAGAUUACUUUUAAUUGCUUUUUUAAAAUUGAUUCUCAUCUCCUGACAUCAUGCUCUCUAUAAUUCCCUCCCUUUGUGUGUGGAGAGACCCUGACUUGCUUCUAGCCACUACAAUAUGGCAAAAGUGAAGAGAUUUUUCACAGGUAGUUAAGGCCUCAAAUCUGGUGAUGUUAAAUUAAUCAAAAGAGAGAUUAUUCUGUGUGGGUAUGUCUUAAAAUAUAUCAAGUGAAAGCCCUAAAUAGUGGCCCUGAACCCUCCCUGAGAGGAGAGACUCUUGUUGAAGGCUUGCUGAAACAAGCAGCCAUGCUGGGGAAGUCCAAAUGGCAAAGAGCUGAGGGCAGCUUCUAGGACCAAAGAGUGGCUUCCCACCAACAGCCAGCAAGAAGUUGGGGUUCUCAGUCAUACAGCUGCCUGGAAAUGAACGCCAUAAACAACUGAGUGAACUUUAAAGUACGUUCUUCCCUGAUGGAAAGGUGGCCUGGCCAACACCUAGUGUGUAGUCUUGAGAAUACUUGGUCACAAGACCCAGGUAACUCCUGCUCACAUUCCUGGCUCAGAACUGUGAGGUGAUAAAUGUGUGUUGUUUUAAUCUGUUGGGUGCGUGGUAAUGUGUUAUAUAGCAAUAGAUAACUAAUUGAGUACUCUAUACAGGAAGAGGAGAUAGAGGCUGGGCCAGGACUUCCACACAUGUGAAUGGAGUCUCAAUAGAAAGGCUAGAAACUUGGCUACAUAAAAAACAGUGGCCCGAGGGGUGUGAGGACUCAAAGCAGGGAAUCAAAUCAAGAUGCUAGCCUACUCUAGUGGCAUGGACCUCUGUGAUCCCCAACAUCUCCCCAGAGCAGGAACCUUAAAAUGCUGUUAUAAAACUUGGUUCUUCUGGAUUGGUGUCUCAGGAGUGCCAGGUGAAGGCAAUCACAGGAGGCACCUGAAAUUUUAGACAAGCAAGGCAAGACCCGGAGAAAAAAGCUAUCCCUCUGCAGUCAAGAUAAAACGUACGAAAAUCCAAAGUCACACAAAGAACUCUGUUAAAAAGGCAAACAAAUACACAGUGCUGCAAGCAUGAAUUCUUUGUAAAUGAUAUUAAUUUUAUGCAACCACUUGACAAAGAGUUUAAAAUAUACUUAAUAAAGAAAUCUAUUAAAAAUCAGAAUAAAAAUUCAUUUUGAAUUUUUAAGGCAAAAAUAUCUCAAGAAAAGUUUGAAUAUGAGAAAGGAACUAGAACUCUUAAGAAUUCAUUGUACACAUUUGUGAAGAGAAAUUAGUAAAUCUGAAAAUCGUUCUGAGAAAUUCACUAAGGAUGGAGGAGAGGAAAAACAUACACACACACAAAUGCACACCAUCAUUAAGAGACAUGCAGAAUAUAUUAACUCCUAUCCAUAUAACUGGAGUUUCACAAGAAAGGAGGGAAUUUUAAAAGAAAUACAUAAUAUAGCUAAGAAUUUUUCAGAAUUGAAGAAAGAUUAGAUUCUUAGAGCUUAAUCCUUAACUGACAUAUGGGUGUUAUUAGAGCAGAUAGCACCUACCAGAAGAGACAAUGUAAGCAAUGAUUAAACCCCGAGGAUAUUUUGAAAAAUCUUCAAUUCUCACCCCACAUCCUAGAUCCACAAAAUUAUAAACAAAUACAGAAAUGGAUAUUUUAGAAAAUCUCCAAUCUUCUUCAAAGCUUAUAACCCCAGUAUAAUUAUGAAAAAAGCAUCAGAUAGCCUCCAAUGAGAAAACUGAAGCAAUUUGAUUGUAAGCAUUUGUAUAGUUCCAAUAAUUUUGAGAAAUUGAAGUUUUCAAACUAUAAUUAUUAUAAAAUGUGAUAACAAUUUUCUUUGAAAUAUCUCAGAAUUAACCCUGAUUUAGAUUCUGUAGUUAUAGCUGAAGAAUAGCAAUAUAAUAAUUGUAGCUAAUUACAAGUGCUUAUUUUUAAAACCCUUAAAAUGGUAAUGAAAAAUGGAGUGAUUUACAAAGUCUGCUCCCAUUCAUAGUAUUAAAGUUUGUUGCUGGAAUAUUUUUCUGUGUCAUGACAGCACUCAUGCAGUAUGUACAAAGUUAAUAAGAAAUAUGCAUUCUUAAAAAUAAAAAAUUAUUUCUCACUUCCUCUUUUCUCUUUCAGUCCCCUCCCUUAAGUAUUUCUUUAAAGCAUUCACCCUUUCUUCACGCUCAUAUUCUGGUCAUUUCAUAGAAGAGAAUCACUUCCAUGCAAAAGAAGUAAAGUCCCACCCAGCACACUUAGCAGCAUAGUGUGUUAUCACAUGGUUUUUUGUUUGCUUUUUGCUGUAUCUUCUAAAAUGUCUCCCACUAUAUUUAACCACCUAACUGGGCAGCUAUCUCCAAUGAAAUGAGCCUUGGAAUUUCAUUCUGGUACUUCCACUUAAUCAGUGUGUGAGAACUUAAGUAUCUAUCUCACACAACUUAUCAAUGCUUCACUUUCCAACUUGCAGUUGGCAAUAGGAUACAUACUUUACAGAGUUGUUGUAGAGAUUAAAUGAGGUGAUAUGUAAGAGAAUUUUCUAAGUCUCUGGUAUUCUGCGGAUAUAAAUCACCCAGUGCCCUUUCUGGAAAUACUUUCCACUUUCUAAGGAAUCCUAUACAUGAGAAAAAAAAAAAUGUAUUCAGUUCUCAUUUAUCCUCAGUAGUCAAAUCAGUUUCUCCUAGGGACUAAGCCACGCCUGGAUAAAGCCAACUCUAGAUUAAGUGAAGCCAGCAUUCGUCUUGUAGGUUCUUGCUACUAAAGUUCUAAAUGUUAUUCUUCCCCAAUAUAGACAUAGUGAAAAUGAAGUAUAGUCUGUUCAGCUACCACUUUCCUUGCACCUCAGUUUUAAUUUAAUUCUUGAAAAACAACUUCCUUGUAUGUACUUUCCAUAGACUCUAAUGCCAGAGUAAAAUAAACGAAUAAUAUGAUACUGCACAACCACAAUCAGCUAAUACAAAGCAUCGUUAUUCAACUGUGUUGACACUAAGUUUUGGAAAUUCCCAGUUUAGUGAGCUGGCCUGAAAAAUUUGGUGCCAUUCCCUACCUUUCCCACCAAUGCUUUUGCAUGAGUUUUAUAGCCCAGGGGUUAGAGCCUUUUUUUUUUUUUUUUAACUGCUGACUGCUAAUUAAACAUCUACUAUCAUACUACCAUACAUGCUGGAUUUCCAUGACACAUAGAGAGAGAGAGAGAUCCUGUGGGUCUCCUUAGAGAAGGCACCUGAAGUUUUCAGAAACAUAGCGGAUACCAAAUACCAACUACAUACAUUCAUUCACUUAUAAACAUCUGCUGAAUGUAUAUAAAGAUGAUAAGAUAUUGGUCUUUGCCUUCAAAUAGCCCAUAGUUUAUUGAGUGGGAGGAAGGGAAAGAAAGAGGAAUGGAAAGAAGAGAAUAAGGGGAGAAAGAAAAAAAGCAGACAGAGGAAAGAGCAAAUUAUUGUUAUAGAGGGAGGAAAAGCCAGUAGUUAAUCACAGAGCAAUAUAGGACUAGAACCUAAAAAAUAUCUGAGAAGGCUUUCUUGAGAAAAUGACAUUUGAGCAGAAUUUUAUAGCUAAUUUAUUUUCAAGCUAACCAAAGCUACCAUUAGAACUUAAUCUCCAUGAGAAAAGGGACUUUGGUUUUUAUAUUUACUGCAUAUCUUCAGUGCCUAGAAAACUAGCUGGUUCAUAGUAUGCUAAAAAUCUUGUGUUAAAUGGAUGAAUAAAUGAGUGUCUGCUUAGCACCAGAAGCCCUUGAAUGAAAAUACUUACUCCCUACAAAGCUGAAUCAUAUCUAAAUAUAUGUGACAGCUCCUGACUCUACUGUUUUUCACAUUUCAAAUAUAGCUAGAACCAGGCUGAUUAGGUAGGUGACUCCAGUUACAUAUAACAAAUUGCCAUGGGGUAUUGAAGAAUUUUAGGAAACAGAAGAAAUCUGAUAAUAAGAAAGAAAACUUCUACAAAAUAGUCUGAAGUUGAGGAAAAGGAGAGUAGACAACUAAAAUUGCCCUCAAACACAUACAUCUACAGGACCUGUUGGGCUGGGCCAAAAGUCAGCAGAAUCUAUAUGAUAAAAACUCAUACUUCUUGGAUCAGAUGAACAGAAAUGGAAUGAAAUAAAAACAGAAACAGGCUGCAUAUGCUCAAUGGCCUUUUUGAGAUACAGUCUGAACUGACCACAUUCCAUUGGACCACAUUCCACAUAAAAUCUUCACUCCAGCAAAACCAUUCUUCAAACUACGGACAUGUGCUGUAUGGGAGAUAUUAUAUUAAAAAUACAGAUGAUUAUGGAAUAUACUAUUCCCCAUUUUCUUUCUUUUUUUUUCCCAACCAUCAUUGAAGUGUUCACCCCACUGGAAAGCAUUUCUUCCCUCCUGCAUCUGUGUUUCUUUGGUCAGGUUUUUCACUUAACAAUAUAGUCUGUACUUAUUUUUGUACAUCUUAGAUUCCUAGUAGAAUGUGAGUUCCUUGUGCACAUAAACUGUGUCUUUCCAAUCUUGUAUCUGACCCCGUAUCUUCUAACUUCCCCUAUAUACUUAAAGAAACGUAUACAUAAACAUUUGUUGAGUGAACUCAGAAAAUUAUAACCUGAUAUUUUCAGGGGAAAGACAUACUUG